UAUAUUAUAGUUGAAACUCUAGCAAAAAACAUGGAGUGGCUACACUGAAACAAAUUGCUGUAAAUUUACGGUGCAUUUCUAACGGUAUCUUACAGUAUGUCAUAAUAACUGUAACAUAGUUAAAUUUCCAUCCCUUUCUUGUAAAUUAACGGCCAAUGUCAUGAAUAAACAGUUAAAGCUGUCAAUUUACAAUAAUAGCAGACUACCGUAAUUCAACUGCAUGUUACAUAUAUUUUAUGAAGUGGUGGAACUACACAUACAAGUGCAUCUACAUCUUUUGUAGGUUAAUGUAUGGAAGCCCAUGUCAGCCACUGAAAAUCAGGUCCUGUAAGUCAUCAUAAUGAGAUAGUAUCUCAUGAGAUACGAUGAUGACUUUGACAAACAGGACAUUACUAUACAUGCAGCUGUCACUUUUAUCCAAAACGCCCAUGGUUUGACAUAAUUUUAUGUGGAGUAAUUGGAGGUUAGGUGUCUUGCUCAGGGACACUUCAACUAGGCACAGGGAGCAGCCAGGAUUCAAACCGGCAACCUUGUGCUGCACAGCACACCCUCCCUAUCCCAUGCGCCGCCUUCGCUGUCAUUUCAGUGGUUGGAAUGUAAAGAUUAUAAAUAUUUGUAUUAUUCAAAGUGUUCAUUACCUAAAAGUCAUUUGAAUGUUAAUCGUGACCGACUGCUCCUGAACGUGACAUCAGACGCGUAAUCUCAGUUCAUCCAGAACACCUGUCAGCGCAGUUCAACAUCGGAGGAGUUUCUCAUUGCCUGGUCUCUCCAAGUAACGUUGAGGCACUGGAUUAAGGACGCCAGCCGUUUGCUGCGGUCAAUUGAAAGUGUUCCAUAGCGUAUUGUUGCAGUUAGUUUACCUUGUUCCUAAUGAUUUUAUGAUUCAUAUUUUAUGUUUAGAUCUUGGUUACAAAUGCUGAACUGAACUGAGUUUGGUUGUCUUUCUUUAAUUUGUGGGGAAUUAAAUGCAAAAGUAUACGGUUAUAAGUAAACGGUAACAUUCUGGUAUUUAUAACACAAAAACAGUAAUCGUAUGGUAAUCCAAUAUACGACAACAUACCAUAAACUAUGGUAGGGCACUGUAAAUGAAACAGUAAUUUACUAGAGUCGACUGCCAGUAAAUUGCAGUUAAUUCACAGUAAAAUACGUUCAAGUUUACGGUAACAUACAGUAAUCCAUUUUACGGUAACAUAGUGUAAAAACAUUUACGGAAUUAUACCGUAAAAUAACGGUAAAUUCCUGGCGUAGUUUCUGCCAGUAAAAUACCGUUAAUUUACAGUGAAAUUUUUUAGAGUGUAUACUCGUGCACAAAAAAAUUAAUUUUCAAAUGCCAAGAGAAGACAAAGGAAGAAGUUAGACCUUUGAAGCGACAAUUGACGGUGUAAAAAUGAAUUUAUGUAAUAUCUAUGCACCAAAUAUCGAGGAUCCAAGCUUCUUUCAUAAAGUGAAUAAAUUAGUGGAAAGCAUAUUUGAUGGACAUACAAUCAUAGCUGGGGAUUCUAAUCAAGUUUUGGAUGGAGUUCUAGACAAAACAACUUCUUUUAAGUUACCAAAAGAUAGA
ensembl:lncRNA